rnacentral:rRNA from 1 species
GCGCGGAACCUUUACAAUGGGCGAAAGUCUGAUAAGGGGACCUUAAGUGCUAAUGUUUUACAUUAGCUUUUUUUAAGAGUAAAUAUCUUGGAGAAUAAGUGGUGGGUAAGACUGGUGCCAGCAGCCGCGGUAACACCAGCGCCACGAGUGGCAAUCAUUUUUAUUGGGCCUAAAGCGUCCGUAGCCUGUCUAGUAAAUCUUUUGUGAAAUCGUUAAGCUUAACUUACCGACGUGCAGAAGAGACUGCUAGACUAGGAACCGGGAAGAGUCAGAAGAAUUUUGGGGGGAGCGGUAAAAUGCUAUAAUCCUCGAAAGACUACCAGUGGUGAAGACGUCUGACUAGCACGGAUUCGACGGUGAGGGACGAAAGCCAGGGGAGCAAACCGGAUUAGAUACCCGAGUAGUCCUGGCCCUAAACUCUGCGAGCUAGGUGUUGCAUAUUCUCCGUGAAUAUGCAGUAUCGGAGCGAAGGCGUUAAGCUCGCCGCCUGGGAAGUAUGGUCGCAAGACUGAAACUUAAAGGAAUUGG